GUUGAUCCUGCGGGAGGUCGCUGCUAUCGGGAUUCGAUUAAGCCAUGCAAGUCCAGGGGUCGCAAGACACCGGCAUACUGCUCAGUAACACGUCGGUAACAUACCCUUAGGCCCGGAAUAACCUUGGGAAACUGAGGCUAAUACCGGAUAGGUGAUUUGUACUGGAAUGUCUUUUCAUUUAAACAUUAGGUCUAAGGAUUGGCUGGCGGCGGAUUAGGUUGUUGGUGGGGUAAUGGCCCACCAAGCCGAAGAUCCGUAGGGGCCUCGGAAGAGGUAGCCCCGAGAAGGGCACUGAGAUACUGGCCCUAGCCCUACGGGGUGCAGCAGGCGCGAAACCUUUACAAUGCACGAAAGUGUGAUAAGGGAAUCCUGAGUGCUCAUGUUUUACAUGGGCUUUUUUUUAAGUGUAAAUAACUUAUAGAAUAAGGGGUGGGCAAGACUGGUGCCAGCAGCCGCGGUAACACCAGCGCCCCAAGUGGGGACUCUGAUUAUUGGGCCUAAAGCGUUCGUAGCAGGUUAAGUAGAUGCUUUGUGAAAUUGUUGGGCUAAACCUAACAACGUGCAGAGUAGACCGCUUGACUUGGGACCGGGAGGAGCCAGAAGAAUUUUGGGGGGAGCGGUAAAAUGCGAUAAUCCUCGAAAGACUAUCUGUGGCGAAGGCGUCUGGCCAGAACGGAUCCGACUGUGAGGAACGAAAGCUAGGGGAGCGAUCCGGAUUAGAUACCCGAGUAGUCCUAGCCGUAAACGCUGUGUGUUAGGUGUUGCAUAUUCUUCAGGAAUGUGCAGUGUCGUAGCGAAGGCGUUAAACACACCGCCUGGGUAGUACGGUCGCAAGACUGAAACUUAAAGGAAUUGGCGGGGGAGCACUACAAGGGGUGCGGCGUGCGGUUUAAUUGAACUCAACACCGGAAAUCUCACCAGGGGCGACGGCAGAAUGAAGGCCAGGUUGAAGGCCUUGCCUGACGAGCCGAGAGGUGAUGCAUGGCCGUCGUCAGCUCGUGCUGUAAAGUGUCCUGCUAAGCCAGGCAACGAGCGAGACCUGUAUCUACAAUUGCUAGCAACCAAUUUAUUGGGAUUGAGCACAUUGUAGAGACUGCUGUGGAAACGCAGAGGAAGGUGCAGGCAACGAUAGGUCUGUAUGCCCCGAAUCUCCUGGGCUACACGCGCGCAACAAUGGUAGGGACAAUGGGACACAACUCCGAAAGGAGAAGUUAAUCCUCGAAACCCUAUCUCAGUUCAGAUCGAGGGCUGCAACUCGCCCUCGUGACGUCGGAAUCCCUAGUAAUCAGACGUCAACAGCGUCUGGUGAAUAUGUCCCUGCUCCUUGCACACACCGCCCGUCAAACCACCCGAGCAGGGUUUAGAUGAGAAUUAUGAAUAAUUGCUUGAUUCGAAUCUGGGCUCAGUGAGGAGGGUUAAGUCGUCACAAGGUA
rnacentral:rRNA from 1 species